AGCAAUCAGCGAGACUCCGUGGGCGUAGGACCCUCCGAGCCAGGUGCGGGAUAUCAUCUCGUGGUGCGCCGUUUAAGCCAGUCGGAAAAGCGCAGUAUUCGGGUGGGAGUGACCCGAUUUUCCAGUUUGCUCCUUUCCUCUCAUGCCUGGUCAGCCAGCCUGCAUGAGGUUCUCUACGUUUGAGACUGGCUUCUCCACGGAACUUGGUCUGUAGCCACAGAGCAAACUGCAGGGCCAUUGACAGAGAAUGAAGAGGAGAGUGAAGAGUGGAACACAUCUAAUGUGUUCUCUGGAGGGAUUCCAGGACCAUCCCAAGGACGUUCUGCCCUUGAGAAAUGUCUCCUGCAAAAAGGGGAGGGUCCCUCCAUUGUGCUCUCAUCAAAGCUCUGAGGGUGAGCCUCUUGCUCAGGCAGCACUUCUACUUCAGAAUGGGAAAGGUAGCAGUCUAGAAGGCAAGAAUGUGUCCAGAUCCUGACCAGAUGAUAGCAUCACAUGAACACAUGACAUUAAGAAGUGCUCUCCUCAAACUGAGGUCUAGAUUCAAUAUAAUCUCAAUAAAAAUCCCAAAAGAUAUUUUUAGGGAACUUGACAAGCUCAUUAUAAUUUAUAUGGACAUACAAAGGGCCAAGAAGCGGCAAGACUGUCUUGAGAAGACAUUCUUCCCUACCAGAUAUUAGAAUGUGUUACAUAAAUUAUGGUAAUUAAGAUAGUGUAGUGCUGUUGCAAGCUUAGACAAAUAGACCAAUGGCACAGAAUAGAGUCCAGAAAUGGACUUGCACAAAUGGGGACACUUUUUUUAUGGACACAGUAGCAUAGCAGACCAGUGAGGAAGGACUAUCUCUUCAAUAAUUUGCUGGUGGGUCAACUGGAUACUCCUUUGGAAAGAAAAAAUUAAGCUGGAUUCCUACCUCACACUGCACUCGAAAACCAAUUUCAGGUGGAAUACAGAUCUCACUGAGAAAGGGUAAAACAACAAAUCCUCUUAAAUAUUAAUAGUUCUGCCCACAGAUGGCCAUGGAGCUCUUGAGAUGUGUUAUGAAGUGUAAAAUCUGCACUGGAUUUUAAACAUUAGUAGGACAAAACAAUGUAAAAUAUCUCAAUAAUUUUUAUAUUCAAACGUUGAAUCAUUGACAAAUUG
rnacentral:lncRNA from 10 species